UGCCAGCAGCCGCGGUAAUACGAAGGGGGCAAGCGUUGUUCGGAAUUACUGGGCGUAAAGGGCGCGUAGGCGGCUCUAGAAGUCAGGCGUGAAAGCCCCGGGCUUAACCUGGGAACUGCGCUUGAUACUCCAGAGCUUGAGUUCGGGAGAGGAGAGUGGAAUUCCCAGUGUAGAGGUGAAAUUCGUAGAUAUUGGGAAGAACACCAGUGGCGAAGGCGGCUCUCUGGACCGAUACUGACGCUGAGGCGCGAAAGCGUGGGGAGCAAACAGGAUUAGAUACCCUGGUAGUCCACGCCGUAAACGAUGUGCGCUAGACGUUGGGGAACUUAGUUUCUCAGUGUCGUAGCUAACGCGAUAAGCGCACCGCCUGGGGAGUACGGCCGCAAGGUAAAACUCAAAGAAUGACGG
rnacentral:rRNA from 1 species